UGAAUGAUAGCAGCUGUCUUACAUUUAUGAAGCUCACUCUGGCUGCUGUUUUGAGAAUGGACUAUGGAGUUUAAGUUAGAGGAAGAGAGAUAGGGAGGAGGUUAUUGGGUUAGGCCAGGUGAGAAAGGAUGGUGGUUCAGAACAGGGCAGUAACCAAGGAAGUGGUGGGUGGUCAGAUACUGCAUAUAUUUGAAGGGAGAACCCAACAGGAACUCUUGACAGACUGGAUGUGAGAUGUGGCAGAGAGAGAAGAUUCAUAGCUAACUCUAAGACUUUUGACCUGAGCAGAUGAAAGGAUGCAGUUACCAUGAAGGCUGCAGAUGAGGUAGGUUAGAAAAGUAAGAUCUGGAAUUCUCUAUGAGAUCUAUUCAGUUUGAGAUACCCAGUAGAUAUUCGAGUGGAGAUGUUGACUAGAUAGUUAGAUAUGUGAGUCAGGAGUUCAAGAGAGAGGCUUGAGUUGGAGAAAUACAUUUAUGAGUUUUCAGAUUAGAGGUGGCAUUUAUGGCCCAGGAAACAGAUGAGAUUUUUAAGAAAGUGAGUGUGGAGAGAGAAGAAAAACAGGCUCAGGACAGAGCCUGGGCAUUCCAACACUGAGAGGUUAGACAGUAAAGGCCAAAUCAGCCAGAUACUGAGAAGAAACAGAAGAAAACCAAGAGGGUAUGCUGUCCUGGCAACCAAGUGUAGAGGGUGCAACCAGGAGGAGGGAAUGAUCCGUGUCAUAAAAUGCUGCUGGUCAGGCUGUGCAAGCAUGACACCAGCAUCUGCUCCACUUCUGAUGAGGCCUCAUGAAAGAAGAUGAAGAGGGAGCCGGCUUAUCACAGGGCAAGAGCAGGAGCAACAGAGAUGGGGAGACGUGCCAAGCUGUUUUAAACAACUAGGUCUCUCAUGAACUACCAGAGCGAGAACACACUCAUCACCAAGGUGAUGGUGCUAAGCCAUGCAUGAGGGAUCCAUGCCUGUGAUCCAAACACCUCCUACCAGUCCCCACCUCCAACAAUGGGAUUACAUUUCAACAUGAGAUUUGAGGGUAGCAAAUAUCCAAACUAUAACAUCCUCUCCAAAUUUCCUCAUGCUCAUUUUUAAUUCCUCUCACCCACCUGUCCCCCUGCCCUCAUCUCUUGGAAACCACUGUUCUGCUUUCUGUCACUGUUGAGACAGAUAGGCGGGUUGGUUCCGUUUUAAUGUGGUCUGGAGGAAAAGAACAAAAGCCCCUUAAGCUUAAGUGCUAGCUUACCUCUCAGCCAAUUAGUAACAAAACGCCUAAGAAACUGUUAAAAACAACUUCCUCCCUCAGGGAGCUAGGGACUUCCCCAGGGCUCUGCAUGUGCAGUUAGACAUCAUCUCCAACCUACAGUUACCCCUUCCUCAUUUCAGUGCUAACAAUCACACCCAGGGCAUGAAGAUUUAAAAUGCUAAUGCUACAUAGGAUGUAUGAAGAAGCAUGUAGAGCCACUGUGCAAGUGCUAGAAAAAACCCUCCCAUACAUGCCCUGACCCAACCCUUCCCUAGAGAGAGACUCAUUAAAACUAAUCCACACGCUACCCUCAGGAGGCAGCCCAUUCCUUUUGCUUUCAUGGUGCUGGCUUCUUGUGCACAAGCUGAAUAAAGUUUCCUUUGCUGCUAUGUUUGGUGAUCUCUCUUGAUUUCUAUACUGGGGGAUUGCAAGAAUCCAGGGCACCUGCCAGUAACACUAUGAAUUAGUUUGUAGUUUCUAAAAUUUCAUAUAAAUGGGAGUCAUACAAUAUACAUACACCUUUCUUUUUUGGUCUGGUUUCUUUCACUCAGGAUAAAUAUCUUGAGAUUCAUCCAUGACAUUGCAUGUAGCUACUGCCGUUUCUUUUUAUUCCUCAGAAGUAUUCCAUGGUUUGGAUUUGUAUGGAUAUAUCACAAUUUAUCCCUUCAUCUGUUGAUGAUAUUUGGGUUGUUUCCAGUUUCUGGCCAUUUCAAAUAAAGCUACUAUAAAUAAAUCUUUGUA
rnacentral:lncRNA from 10 species